GAUGAACGCUGGCGGCGUGCUUAACACAUGCAAGUCGAGCGAAGCACUAAAGCGGAUUUCUUCGGAUUGAAGGUUUAGUGACUGAGCGGCGGACGGGUGAGUAACGCGUGGGUAACCUGCCUCAUACAGGGGGAUAACAGUUGGAAACGGCUGCUAAUACCGCAUAAGCGCACAGUACCGCAUGGUACGGUGUGAAAAACUCCGGUGGUAUGAGAUGGACCCGCGUCUGAUUAGGUAGUUGGUGGGGUAACGGCCUACCAAGCCGACGAUCAGUAGCCGACCUGAGAGGGUGACCGGCCACAUUGGGACUGAGACACGGCCCAAACUCCUACGGGAGGCAGCAGUGGGGAAUAUUGCACAAUGGGGGAAACCCUGAUGCAGCGACGCCGCGUGAGCGAAGAAGUAUUUCGGUAUGUAAAGCUCUAUCAGCAGGGAAGAAAAUGACGGUACC
rnacentral:rRNA from 1 species